rnacentral:rRNA from 1 species
UACGUAGGAUGCAAGCGUUGUCCGGAUUUAUUGGGCGUAAAGCGAACGUAGGCGGCUUCUUAAGUUUGGUCUUAAAGACCGGGGCUCAACCCCGGGAGUGGACUGAAUACUGGGAGGCUAGAGGAUGUCAGAGGAAAGUGGAAUUCCUAGUGUAGCGGUGAAAUGCGUAGAUAUUAGGAGGAACACCAGUGGCGAAAGCGACUUUCUGGGACAUUUCUGACGCUGAGGUUCGAAAGCUCGGGGAGCAAACAGGAUUAGAAACCCCAGUAGUCC